rnacentral:rRNA from 1 species
AGAGUUUGAUCCUGGCUCAGAACGAACGCUGGCGGCAUGCCUAACACAUGCAAGUCGAACGAGACCUUCGGGUCUAGUGGCGCACGGGUGCGUAACGCGUGGGAACCUGCCCUUAGGUUCGGAAUAACAGUUAGAAAUGACUGCUAAUACCGGAUAAUGUCUUCGGACCAAAGAUUUAUCGCCUUUGGAUGGGCCCGCGUUGGAUUAGCUAGUUGGUGGGGUAAAGGCCUACCAAGGCGACGAUCCAUAGCUGGUCUGAGAGGAUGAUCAGCCACACUGGGACUGAGACACGGCCCAGACUCCUACGGGAGGCAGCAGUGGGGAAUAUUGGACAAUGGGCGAAAGCCUGAUCCAGCAAUGCCGCGUGAGUGAUGAAGGCCUUAGGGUUGUAAAGCUCUUUUACUGGGGAUGAUAAUGACAGUACCCAGAGAAUAAGCUCCGGCUAACUCCGUGCCAGCAGCCGCGGUAAUACGGAGGGAGCUAGCGUUGUUCGGAAUUACUGGGCGUAAAGCGCACGUAGGCGGCGAUUCAAGUCAGAGGUGAAAGCCCGGGGCUCAACCCCGGAACUGCCUUUGAAACUAGAUUGCUAGAAUCCUGGAGAGGCGAGUGGAAUUCCGAGUGUAGAGGUGAAAUUCGUAGAUAUUCGGAAGAACACCAGUGGCGAAGGCGACUCGCUGGACANGUAUUGACGCUGAGGUGCGAAAGCGUGGGGAGCAAACANGAUUAGAUACCUGGUAGUCCACGCCGUAAACGAUGAUACUAGCUGUCCGGGUCA